AUUGAACGCUGGCAGCAUGCCUUACACAUGCAAGUCGAACGGCAGCACGGGGCAACCUGGUGGCGAGUGGCGAACGGGUGAGUAAUGCAUCGGAACGUACCUUUCAGUGGGGGAUAACGUAGCGAAAGUUACGCUAAUACCGCAUAUUCGGUGAGCAGGAAAGCAGGGGAUCGCAAGCGCUUGCGCUGAUUGAGCGGCCGAUGUCAGAUUAGCUAGUUGGUGAGGUAAAGGCUCACCAAGGCGACGAUCUGUAGCAGGUCUGAGAGGAUGAUCCGCCACACUGGAACUGAGACACGGUCCAGACUCCUACGGGAGGAAGCAGUGGGGAAUUUUGGACAAUGGGGGCAACCCUGAUCCGGCCAUGCCGCGUGAGUGAAGAAGGCCUUCGGGUUGUAAAGCUCUUUCGGCCGGGAAGAAAUCGCACGGGCUAAUACCCUGUGUGGAUGACGGUACCGGAAUAAGAAGCACCGGCUAACUACGUGCCAGCAGCCGCCGUAACAC
rnacentral:rRNA from 1 species